rnacentral:rRNA from 1 species
GACGAACGCUGGCGGCAUGCCUAAUACAUGCAAGUCGAGCGAACAGAUGAAGUGCUUGCACUUCUGACGUUAGCGGCGAACGGGUGAGUAACACAUAAGGAAUCUACCUAUAAGCGGGGGAUAACAUUCGGAAACGGGUGCUAAUACAGCAUAAUAUCUUCUUCCGCAUGGAAGAAGAUUGAAAGACGGCUCUGCUGUCACUUAUAGAUGACCUUGCGGUGCAUUAGUUAGUUGGUGGGGUAACGGCCUACCAAGACGAUGAUGCAUAGCCGACCUGAGAGGGUGAUCGGCCACAUUGGUACUGAGACACGGCCCAAACUCCUACGGGAGGCAGCAGUAGGGAAUCUUCCGCAAUGGGCGAAAGCCUGACGGAGCAAUGCCGCGUGAGUGAAGAAGGCCUUCGGGUCGUAAAACUCUGUUAUAAGAGAAGAACAAAUUGUAGAGUAACUGCUACAGUCUUGACGGUAUCUUAUCAGAAAGCCACGGCUAACUACGUGCCAGCCGCCGCGGUAA